UACGUAGGGAGCAAGCGUUGUCCGGAAUCAUUGGGCGUAAAGCGCGCGUAGGUGGCCACAUAAGUCCGCUGUGAAAGUCAAAGGCUCAACCUUUGAAAGCCGGUGGAUACUGUGUGGCUAGAGUACGGAAGAGGCGAGUGGAAUUCCUGGUGUAGCGGUGGAAUGCGCAGAUAUCAGGAGGAACACCAAUAGCGAAGGCAGCUCGCUGGGACGUUACUGACACUGAGGCGCGAAAGCGUGGGGAGCGAACAGG
rnacentral:rRNA from 1 species